rnacentral:rRNA from 1 species
CAAACGCAUAGUUAACUGGGAAACUCUGUGGAAACGCCCAGAAAGCCAGGAUGUUGGCUUAGAAGCAGCCAUCCUUUAAAGAAAGCGUAAUAGCUCACUGGUCGAGUCGGUCUGCGCGGAAGAUGUAACGGGGCUAAACUAUGCACCGAAGCUGCGGAUUCAGAAUUUAUUCUGAGUGGUAGGGGAGCGUUCUGUAAGCCGUUGAAGGUGACCCGGGAGGGUUGCUGGAGGUAUCAGAAGUGCGAAUGCUGACAUGAGUAACGAUAAUGCGGGUGAAAAACCCGCACGCCGGAAGACCAAGGGUUCCUAUCCCAUGUUAAUCAGGGUAGGGUAAGUCGACCCCUAAGGCGAGGCCGAAAGGCGGAGUCGAGGGG